rnacentral:rRNA from 1 species
GGGGGGCUGCUAUACUGCAAGUCGAGCGGACCGACGGGAGCUUGCUCCCUUAGGUCAGCGGCGGACGGGUGAGUAACACGUGGGUAACCUGCCUGUAAGACUGGGAUAACUCCGGGAAACCGGGGCUAAUACCGGAUGCUUGAUUGAACCGCAUGGUUCAAUCAUAAAAGGUGGCUUUUAGCUACCACUUACAGAUGGACCCGCGGCGCAUUAGCUAGUUGGUGAGGUAACGGCUCACCAAGGCGACGAUGCGUAGCCGACCUGAGAGGGUGAUCGGCCACACUGGGACUGAGACACGGCCCAGACUCCUACGGGAGGCAGCAGUAGGGAAUCUUCCGCAAUGGACGAAAGUCUGACGGAGCAACGCCGCGUGAGUGAUGAAGGUUUUCGGAUCGUAAAACUCUGUUGUUAGGGAAGAACAAGUACCGUUCGAAUAGGGCGGUACCUUGACGGUACCUAACCAGAAAGCCACGGCUAACUACGUGCCAGCAGCCGCGGUAAUACGUAGGUGGCAAGCGUUGUCCGGAAUUAUUGGGCGUAAAGCGCGCGCAGGCGGUUUCUUAAGUCUGAUGUGAAAGCCCCCGGCUCAACCGGGGAGGGUCAUUGGAAACUGGGGAACUUGAGUGCAGAAGAGGAGAGUGGAAUUCCACGUGUAGCGGUGAAAUGCGUAGAGAUGUGGAGGAACACCAGUGGCGAAGGCGACUCUCUGGUCUGUAACUGACGCUGAGGCGCGAAAGCGUGGGGAGCGAACAGGAUUAGAUACCCUGGUAGUCCACGCCGUAAACGAUGAGUGCUAAGUGUUAGAGGGUUUCCGCCCUUUAGUGCUGCAGCAAACGCAUUAAGCACUCCGCCUGGGGAGUACGGUCGCAAGACUGAAACUCAAAGGAAUUGACGGGGGCCCGCACAAGCGGUGGAGCAUGUGGUUUAAUUCGAAGCAACGCGAAGAACCUUACCAG